GAUUUUGCUGUAGGUCCCUGCAUACUUGAGGCCUUCUGGAGGUGGGGAAUGAAAAUGGCAUCUCUAAGCCUUGAAGCAGAGAUCUCUAUCAUGUCAAGAUCCUUCCCUAUGAAGUUCAGGUUUGAUGACUGGAAGUUUCUCUGUAAUUGGUGAAGAUAUGAUAUCCAUGUUAAAGUCAUUCUGAGGAACAGAAUGGGGUUGGAAUCAUGUAAAAAUUAUCCACUGCUACCUUUCCAGUUAAAUAAAGUGGAGAUCAUCUAUUACUGUCAAACAGAGUUAUUUUAGAAGUAAUCGUUUCAGUAGAGUGAGGAGGAUAAACGUCUUUUUGUCACUACCUUGGCAGAUAUUUAAGCUCUCCACACCCCUGCAGUGGCAUUUUCUUGGGAUUAUGUAUGUGAAACGUAUCAUUUACUCAUCCAAGACUGUGGUGACACUGGUUAUGCUGCACUAGAGUGGGCUCGGAUGUGCUCUGGCUAUCUCCCAAGUCACAGCAGGCAAUCCACUUUGUGCGGUGUGUGUCCGCAUGAGUGACUGAUAACUGUGGCUCUGUUUCUGAGAGCAUUUGCUAGGUACAAACAGUGACUAGCAAUAUCAUUUCUACUUCACUGUUUAAUACGUUAUUUCAACAUGUCUGACAAGGCCUAAAUGUUUCACUUUCUGCUGUGUCAGGAAAAAAAAACACAUGCAGUCAUAAGAAAUGGAAGGCAAAUGGCAUGGCAUGGCAUCUAUGGAGACACCUGCUGGUGUUAAUGAAAUAAGCAGAAGAGCUCUGACUUUGGCCAGCACUACAGUAGCAACCCAGAGCUAACUGCAUCAGCUCACAGAUCUUACUGAGCUUAAAGUUACAGGAGCAAUGUUGGGUGAAAGGAGAAGUGGUGACCAGAAGGUAGAGGUUUUGGAGAUCUUACGGUUCCUUGAGACCAGCUUUUCUGCUCUCCUCACAAACAGCUUGGGAAUCUUUAAUUUCAGAAAAAGCACCUGGCUUAUUCCAAGACCCAAGAUGGUGCGUUUUGCAAAUAUUGUGCAUGCUUCCUGCCAGUUUCACUGGGUGUGCAGCCUCUAGGACAGCUAUGCACACUAGCACUGGGCAAUGGAAAAUAUACUGCCAAGAGCUUUGCUGCUUGUGAAAAAUGCCAGUGCUGCUAGCAAAUACAGAGGAUUUGGGAAACCUGUUCAAUGUGAUAUCUAGUAAGCAGCAAGAAAUUUUCAUGCAAUUACAGAGUGAAAUAAAAUGUCAGACAGUCAAGAAAGCUAUUAUCAUUUAUCCUUUCCAGAGCCAAGCCUUGUCUUCAGGGGACACAGAGACUCCUGCUACACCACAGUCACAGCCCAGAGAAAAGUGACAGCAAACUCAAUGCUGUUCUCAGCUUAUCUGCCAAGACUGAUGUAAUGCUGAAGAAGCUGAAGUUCAAUGACAGAAGCAGAAAGGAAAAAUUGUUUCCUAUCUAAAAUCAAAUAAAUGAAGUAUGAAACUACCCACUCAUCUUGACUUUCAUGAAGAAGAUCAGCACACACAAAAAAAGCUGUAAUUCUUAUGUUCGCACAAAAAAUUACAGAGACCAUGACCUUACAGCACUUGCCUUUGCUCAUUGCUUGCCCUGUGCUCAACACAUUGCUGAGGGCCCUUCUUGCAGUUUGUGCAGCAUGGCAGGGAAGGUACAGCAGCUCCCAUGUCAACUGGGGAGAAGUAAAAUGUAAUGACAGCUCUGAUGAAACUGCAGUAGCAAAUGGCCGCUUGAACUGCCUCAAAGCUUGCGUGAAGAGAACAGCUCUGAAGAUCCACAGCUUCACGUGCAACUUCUUUGUUGUCAGACCAACAUGAUGUGACAUUUAUAAGGAAUCUUCUGGGAACUGGGGGGGAUAUGCUGGAGCUUUUCCAUGUCCAGUAAACAGACUGCUUCCAGGGUGGAGCAUGAAUUUCUGCUUCAUGUGCUGAGUGAAGAUUGAUGAUUUGGAAGCCACUUUGCUUGAGCUUCCUGAACCUUUUAAGAAUCUCACAGAGUAAGAAGACAGAGUAUCAUUCUUCCAAGCUAAAAGCUCCUUUCAGGUAAAUGUGCUGUGUUUGAAGAAUAUUUCAUCAUAUCCAUAGUGGCCAUAAAAUAUAUGAUUGGCUGUAGCGUACAACUGUGCAGAUCUUUGCUGCAAACCUAGGAGAGACCAGUCUUACAAAAGACACUGCUGAUGGGAUAAAAGCCCUAAAAGCUCUGGUACUGAACUGUAUGGUAUUUCCCUCAACAUCUACAAAUGCACUUAACGGCCUGGAUUUUCCAUCAGCUCCUUGCAACUAUCAUCAGGAGAGACAUAAUGCUUUAAUAAGUCUUUAAGGAUAGAAGAGUAACACUACCAACCAGAAAUGUGUCUUUUUUAGUUAUUUAUAAUUCAUCCUUAGGCAAGACCUUCUGAUAACAAGUCUGUUUUUAAGAG
ensembl:lncRNA